UCCUUCCAUGGAUGUGAAAAACAAUUGGGUGUUGGAGAUUCGUAAAGUUCUCACAGGCCAACUCGAGGCGUGCAGAGAAGCAAGCCAGCACAACAUCUCUGGGGCCCCGAUGAGGAAUGUCUACAAGAAGGCACUGAGACAGUCGGAUUCAUCAAGUCCAGAGCCAGGCUUCAGGAGAUCCAACCCCAGCCCUAACAUGAGGCAGAAG